CAACAUAACUACAUGUUUAGACGGCAGAAGAUAGAGAAAUGACGACCUAUUCAAGUCUGUUGCGGACAAGCUAUGUGAUGCUGGUUUUUCACCUCACUAAGCCCGCUAGAAGCCACAGAGAAAUGAAAUAUUACCACAAGCAGGUGGGAGGGCACGUCUGCUCACAGCUCAGAAGGAGACUGCCAUUGUGAACAUGGUUCUGGAGAACAACGCUAUCACCCUAAAACAAAUCCAAAGAAAGAGAGUUCUGGAGCUGGAUGCGGCUGCCGAGAACCAUGAAUUCCUCUACAAUGAUGAGGCAGGGUUCAACUUGGUGAAAAGAAGGCAUCGGGAAAG